rnacentral:rRNA from 1 species
CUACGGGGCGCAAGCAGUGGGGAAUCUUAGACAAUGGGCGCAAGCCUGAUCUAGCCAUGCCGCGUGAGUGACGAAGGCCUUAGGGUCGUAAAGCUCUUUCGCUGGGGAAGAUAGUGACGGUACCCAGUAAAGAAACCCCGGCUAACUCCGUGCCAGCAGCCGCGGUAAUACGGAGGGGGUUAGCGUUGUUCGGAAUUACUGGGCGUAAAGCGCGCGUAGGCGGAUCAGAAAGUUGGGGGUGAAAUCCCGGGGCUCAACCCCGGAACUGCCUUCAAAACUCCUGGUCUUGAGUUCGAGAGAGGUGAGUGGAAUUCCGAGUGUAGAGGUGAAAUUCGUAGAUAUUCGGAGGAACACCAGUGGCGAAGGCGGCUCACUGGCUCGAUACUGACGCUGAGGUGCGAAAGCGUGGGGAGCAAACAGGAUUAGAUACCCUUGUAGUC